rnacentral:rRNA from 1 species
GAUGAACGCUAGCUACAGGCUUAACACAUGCAAGUCGAGGGGCAGCAUGAACUUAGCUUGCUAAGUUUGAUGGCGACCGGCGCACGGGUGAGUAACACGUAUCCAACCUGCCGAUGACUCGGGGAUAGCCUUUCGAAAGAAAGAUUAAUACCCGAUGGCAUAGUUCUUCCGCAUGGUAGAACUAUUAAAGAAUUUCGGUCAUCGAUGGGGAUGCGUUCCAUUAGGUUGUUGGCGGGGUAACGGCCCACCAAGCCUUCGAUGGAUAGGGGUUCUGAGAGGAAGGUCCCCCACAUUGGAACUGAGACACGGUCCAAACUCCUACGGGAGGCAGCAGUGAGGAAUAUUGGUCAAUGGACGAGAGUCUGAACCAGCCAAGUAGCGUGAAGGAUGACUGCCCUAUGGGUUGUAAA